AGUUGAAAUCUGCUAGCCUGUGACUGGGUUUCCCAGUGGCCCCAGUGGAGGAUCUUUAGUGCUGCUAAAGCCAUGGACACUGGUGUCUCCACACCUGGCACCAGUGUGUUCAGCAUAAAUGGGAUUAGCACCAUGGGCAGUGGUGUGGGAGGGGCUGGCAGUGCCCGGCAAGGGGAACAGCUGUGGAACAGCAAGAACCCAGGCUGAGGUGAUCACCAGACAAGUGGCAUCGCAGCGUGGCCGCAGCCAUGCGGCCGGGUGUGUGCCUCCCACCACCUGUGGGUGCCGGGCUCGGAGCAGAAUGCAUGUGCUGGGGAGGAGAGGGGAAAGAGCCCCUGGGCUAAACAGGUGUCACCGGCCUGCGGUGGAAAGCAGCGACAGUACAGGGUUUGCCUAUGGCAUGUGACUCGCUGAAUCUGCAGCGAUACGAGCACCUCUCCUCCCAGCAGUGGCACCCUGGAGGAUAAAAAGGAAUGCCUCUGCUUUUCAGCAUGCUUUUGCUGUGUGUAUGCUACAUAUGCAAUGAAUGUCCCAAAUUUCCUUUGGCUUACAACUGCCUUGCAGCUGACUCUGAUAAAAAAAAAAAAAAAAUUGAGCAGGACUUAAACCGUAUGCAGAACUGGACACAGCUCUCUCAGGAUGAAACAUUGGGAUCAGCUGCACUUGACCCUCAUUUGGCAGAAGAUUUGGGGCAAAUUUCUAGGAGUUUGUGAAAGGUCCCUGGAGUCCCAUAAAGAAAAGCAGGCCUUGAAAGAGGAAGAGCUGUACUCUGUUCAAGUCCAAAAGCUCAGGCAUGCAGCUAAUACCAAACAUUACUGGUGGCUUUCAUUCCUUGUGCCUUGUAAAGGGCACUUAACAGAGCAACUAAGUCUGGCCCAACUGAUUUGUAACUCAAGGAUGUGAGGGAUUUUCACGUAAAAUCUUGAGAGACAAGAGCUGGGACUCUCUUCAGUGGCCAGGCUGGCAACAGUUGGGUUUUGCAAGCAGCAGACUGAACAGGGUCCUGCACCAAGACAGUUUUCAAAGCAAUUCCGUUUGGAAUGCAGAUUUCUGACCUUCUGCCAAUAUCUCAGUGGAAAAUCUGUGCCCCAAGCAGCAGAUAGGAAAUUAAACUUCAGCUCCAAUGCUGAGGGUACCAUUUUCACCUCAGCAGUGGAGCUGCUAAAACCAGAGUCUCUGGAGAACGGGGAAAUCCUUCCUAGGCAGCAAAGAGCAGGAAGGCCUCUCAGGCCAUUUGUCACUGCUGGGGUAUCCUGAAUUAACACCAUGCUGGGGUAGAAUGAAGAUGUGAUGCUGGUGAACCAGGGGUAAAAGCCCUGCAUUUCCAAAGAUCAGGACAGAUAUCUGACUGGUCAGAGAUCAGGCUUCAACCAUGGGAUGAAAAUCACAGCUGAAGGAGAAAAGGAAGCCCAUGCAAACCCCUUCUCAUCCCUUCUUCAAGCUGGACUUCUCCACAACAAGGCCCAGCAGCCAAGGACCCUGUAGCUGGUGAGAAGAAGUUGAAAUGUGGAGAUGCAUGGUAUCAUGUACUCAAGUAAUGUUAGAAGCUUCUGAGAAGAAAAGAUCCCAUGUUCCUUUAAAGCCAGGAAACCUAUUGUGCCCUGAACUCCUGCUGUGAAAGCUCCUGCAUCUGAGAUCAAGCAGUCAUCUGCACCUCGGCAUUGGAGUGGUCUCUGCAGAAGCAGGUGGAUUUGGGAAUCUAUUUCCUGGACAUCCCUGGACAAGGGAGAUGAUGGAUGGGUUUUAGGGCUUCGAGGAACCACUCUGGUGAUCAAAUAUGGCUCCUUACAGACCUGAGUGUGUCCUGCUUCAAAUUAGUCAUUGGCAACUGAGCUCAGUUUAAAGGCUCCAGAUACAUCCAGAUGCUUCAAAACCCACCCCCCCCAAGAAAAAAACAAAACAAAAAAAAAACCAAAACAAAACACAACACAAAAAACAAUAACUGUUGUAGAAGAUAAAUAGUUACCAAACAAAUGAGUCACUGCAAAGAGGGACUCUAGCUUAAACCUCCAAAAUGUUUUCUCAGGCUUUUUGCUCUUAGAUGAACAAGUCCUUACUACCACAGAUUUUCCUGAGAACAAAUAAAUCCAAGUCACCUUUUCAUCUGUGGUGUGUGGUAUGGCAUGGCCACCUUGCAGGCUGUUCUGCAGGCAGGGAGAACUUGAGGAGUUAUCUAGUGAUGGCAGGUUGUAGUCAUGUAGCUCCAUGUUAGCAGCAUAUUCAAAUAUUAAAUUAUAUGUCUGUAUAAUUAAUUGCUUUUAUUAUUAUUUGAUUAUGUUAAAUAGAUUUUAACAUAAUUAAAUCACAGGUGGAAGUGAGUGAUUCCUGUGGCACAAGAAGUUACAUCCCUGCCCUGGUGGCCAGUGCUGCAAAGCAAUAAUGAAGACUGUGUGAGCCUCAGAAAAUGAAGACAAAAUCUAUAGUGGUUUGGCUUCUGGACAUUCUUUUAGACAGGGCCGUAUUUUGCAGAUAUUCAGGACAAGAAGCAACCUUUCAGUAUCCAUUAUGGUUUUAUGUGCAACAAAAGAAAAAAAAAGCAUCAAUGAGAUCUUCCCUCUCUGUUCCUCAACCUUGAUGCUAGGUGAAUUUUCCCAAGUAUAGUGUUCUUGAUAAAGAGGAAACCUUUCACAAGUGCCCAGUAUGUGUCCCAGCACAGAUCCAGUCCCCUGCUUCUUCCUGGAUCCUCAGGAAUCAUCAGGCCUUUAAUUCCAACCUCUUCCCUCGUGCCUCUGCUGCUUGAUACCCCCCCACUUCACUCCUCCUUCGUCUUCCUCCUGUCUCUCUCUGAAAGGGUGCACACAUCUGGCUUGCCUUUAUUGUGUGAUAAAUCUCACCCUGCAUCUUGGGUUUAUUUUCUGAAAGUUUUGAAUGGUGUCUUGGAAAUGCUGUUGGACAAUAGGAGCUCUUUGAACCCAGGCCAGCUGGACCCGACUCCUUGCAUUGCAGCUGACAUGCAGGCUUUGGCGGUCUGUGUCGACUCUUUCCUCUCUUUUCUUUACAACAUUUGAGUUGUCCUCAAACUUUAUUUUUGGAGUGGGCAGUGCAUUUCUGAAUCUUUUCAUCAUUAUAUUAUUAUUCAUUAUGGUCAUGACUAUUUCUCUUUCUGCUGGCACUCCUCAGUGGAUCUCUCCUCUCUCACUUAAUAUCUUGGGUACGACUACCUUGGCCACAACCCACUCAAGCAGUGACUCAGAAUCCCUGGCCUGUUCCCAGGAGAGAUGCAAGAGUUUUGCCAAUUGGUUUAAAAAGAGGCAGUCGUUUUCCAGAGCUACUCUCUCACUCAACAGAGCUGAGCUGGGUGGAAAAGCUCAGCUCUGUGGUUCCAGGGAGUCCAUUCCUGAUGGACAGGCUGUCCCUGGGUUAUUAUGAAAGCAAAGCCCUGCUCUCUUCACAUGCAAACAGGAUGACUUCUGAACCAGGCAGUAGGAUUCUCCACUGAAAAUAAUUUUGCUCCCUGGGGGUCACUGCACUCAAUUUUCCCAUUCCCAAGCCCCUGGAGGAAACAAAGCUCAGGGAGGCAUGUGGGCAGAAUGAGGCAUUGUAAGGGAGGGAGUACUGGAUGCUCAGGUCAAACUGUUGCCUAAUGUAUCAUCACACAGCUACCCACAUCUUGAGUCAGAGUGGAGAAUGGCAUCAUCUGAAGCAGGCUCUCAUAUUGCUGGGUUUGAGGUUUGCUUGCAGCAGUGGUAAUCAAAUAUGGUAGAGAAAUCCCAUCUUCCUCUGAGCAUCUCAGACUUUCCCAACCAUGCAGGAGUGUGGGAAUUGCUCUGAUUCUAAAAGCAGGAGGGAAUCUAUGGCUUGACUAUUUGCCCCUCUACACAUUGAGUUUAUGUAGCGAAGAAGGCUGUUUUGUUCCUGUGUGGCUUCCGUGACUUUAAGACCUUCAAACUGUGCUCUUAAGGAGGCAGACAUACAAAUCUUCAUUUCAUGUGCUAGGAAGGAUGCAAGAAAAAAUUAUUAUUCAUUAUGGUCAUGACUAUUUCUCUUUCUGCUGGCACUCCUCAGUGGAUGCAUGGCAGUGAGGCAUGGCAGUUCUCCCACAGAACAUGGUGGGAAGCUGAGUGAAUCCUUCUGACUGGACUUCACUGCCUCCUGCAAAUGGCACUGAGUGAUGGAGGGAAGGGGAUGACAGGCCUUCUACUACCAAGAGUGGGUACUUGGCAAUGUCAGACCAGAUGGGCUUCCCAGUCUUCUUUCCUAUGUGCUGGGAAGCCCACCUGCUUCACAGGGCAGUCAAGAGCCCUGCUGUCCCCUGGUGCAGGUAUUUUUAAAGAAGAGGGACUGAGAUCAUCAAUUGCUUUUUACUCACAUCUACUGAAGGGAGGAAUAGGUCUUGAGUAAAGUAAAACUCUCCUUCCUCCUGUUCUGCUGCAAGAUCCAGCAGGGCAGGAAAGCCCAUGAGCAUCUGGGAACAGUGGUCCCUCUCUGUGCUGGUGUUGAAGGCUGAGCUGACUCCAGAGCUCAGCUGCCGUGGUCCGAGCACCAGGCAGAGGUGUCACUCUCUCUCCAGCUGCAGCACGGUGCAAACCACAGCUGGUUCCACGUGCAGGGCUGCCUCUCCCGGGCUGGCAGGCUGGCUGCAGCUGGCCUCUGCUCCUGCUGGCAGGGUGGCAUUGCAGCUUCUGCUUGAGGAAUGCAAACUGCCUGAGCUGAGCUUGAGGAUUGGCCAGGAAAAGUCCACAAAUAGCAACAGGAAAUCAAAAUGCCCGCUCCAGACAUGCACUAGAUAUGAGGCCAUCCAGCACAAGGAGAAAAAUCAAAUGCUGGAUGAUGAAGAUUACAUCAUGCUGUGGAUGAACACGUGAGCCCAUCCAGAUGGGGCCAUGCCAACAGGUCCAGAUGGCUCAGGAAUGCUAACUGCAUAGCUACCUCUCUCAUCUUUGGUUUUUCGUCCCUUUCUUUCCCUGUUUUCCAUCCUUCUGGCAUCCUUCACUCUUUCCCAGAAUAAGUAAAUAAAUCCUCUGACAACUCUGUGUAAUUCAAUUUCAUCAAAUAUCAGAGAGGCAUCUGAGACCAGUGGAUGGGUGACUGCUCUGGACAGGGGUGUCUGGCACUUGUAGGUAUGAAUGGUGCUGGGUGACCUCACCACACUAUGUGGCUGCUGGGCUUGACACAGUAAUGUGUGCCUUCACCUCACCUGGGACUUCAGCUCCAGGUCACAAAGGAGGAGGUUGUAAGGGCUGUUCGCCUGGAGCCUGAAGCAUGCAGGAAAAUGAAGAAAUCAGCAUUAUUCCUGCUCUGCUGCAGCUCACCCCAGCUGCUUACAGCUGCCACUGACAGCUCACUGUGGCUGCAGCUACAAGGGGAGGGAGAAAACAGUUCUGCUGUCCUAGCUAGCAGCCGCUACCUACCACCCUGGUAUUAAUUAGCAGCAAAGAAAAGAGCACAGCAGCCUCUGUCACUCCCCAGUAUUGACCCGAGCAGCAUCUGCUGCUACUCCGCUCUCUCCCAGCAUGAUAAAAAAGAGCUGAAAGCCAUGUAAGAAAAAAGUGAAAGGUAUGUGCUUUGCCAGGUCUGAAAAAGGGCUGCAGGCCAUUUGCUCAUUAAUUACUGCUAAUCCAGCUGCUGGACCACUGCCAACUAUAUUUGACAAAACCUGAAGAGCAGGAGAAGGAUCAGAGGAUGAAAAAACAACCUCUGCAUCACUCUUCCCAAUGGAUGACGGUGAUGCUAACUUUACAACAGGCCAUACAGAGUUACUGUGAAGAAAAGGCACCUCCAAAGAAAGGGAAAAUGCAAAAACAUGUGCUGAGCAGCAGGAGAGACAGACAUGGGUCUUGAAUAUCAUGCUAGGGAUUGAUAAAGCCAUGACAUUAUGGUAUGUUAUGAGAAGGAGCUUGUUACCUCCUUCUCAUUUACAAACCACCAGAGAAAUAGUUUGGGAGCCUGAGAACUCAGCCCAGCACUGACCAUGGGGCAAAAAUAAAACAGGGCGCUCUCAGCAAAUUGCACCAAACUGAUGGAGAAGUUAAGUUUUGUGCCUAAGCCAGGAUCUGGUUGUACAGUGGAGGAUGAGGCAUGAGUACAGCCCAUUCACUGGAUUUAUAAAGCACAAAUUGUUUGGUUUUCCGUAAGGCCCAGAAUGGUCAGGCCAGUAACAGCAUGGGCCAAAAGUCCUUUAGUUUAAAUCCUGAUGCUAACCAACGUAGUCAUUCAUACUGACACAGAAAGAUUACUCUGGAUUAGCUUGAAGUAUCUGAGGUCAAAUAGAGACACGUGCAGUCCACAGGGACAAGGAACAGGAGAGGGGUGAAGGAUAGCUGGGAUAUCAGUGGAGAACAGAUGAGCCAAACUGAAAAUGUGGCAAAUAUCAUGUGUAGCUGCAAAGUCAUUGAAAAAGAGUCCAACUAGGGAAGCAAAGUAAUAGCUCCUAUGGACCUUUCCUGGCAGGUACUUAGUGGCAAAACCCCAUUCCAGUCUUAAUUUUUGUUAAUCUGCUUCACCCAUUGGUGACACUGCUCAUUUGCAGUAAGAACAAGGAUGUCCACUUCUUUCAUAGUGAGAAAAAGCUGCAUUACUGCAAGUGACACCCUGAGGAUCAUACACUAAAAAACUGGCAGACCCAGGACUAAAAUACAGUUCUCCCAUUCCCAACAACCUCACUGCAGUGCUGUCCAUAAAGACAGAGAAACACAACAAAAACAAACCCAACAUCAUUCAAUUGGCAAUUCAGUAUUUGUGGCUCAACAGCACCUCAUCAACCCUGAGAGUCUGCCACAUUUGCUUGGAAAGAAGAGCCACAUUUCCAACACUCCCUGGGCAAAGAGCUCUCAGAUUGAGAGACUGAAAAGUCUUUGAAAGAAACCUUCCAUCAACAGUCUUUACAAAUGUCAGAGCUGGUUUCCUCCUCCCUGAGCUGCCUGGCUUGCAGUCCCUCCCCCCGGGACAGCAGUGAACUUAGCCAAAAGCACCUGCCCAGCUCCUUCCUUCAACUGUCAUGAAUUUAGGAGACUCAUUUAACAUCAAGCUGCUCUGACAUGCAACAAUUAACUCUUAAGGCUCUGGAACUGGGUCCUCUUCUUCAUCCUCAUCUCCCUCUACCUUUUCACCCUUCUGGAAGUGAAAGCUCUCCUCCAAGUAGUGAGAGGGUUUCAAAUAUUGCAGAGUCAGAGCAGGUUUUCAUGGUAGAGCCCCUGCGCCUUGAGCAGCAGAUGGGUUAUUCCUGAGCUGCAAUGCUCCCCCUGGAUGUGCCAUGCCAUCAAAAGGAGGAGCCAGUGACCCCAUGACACUGUGGUGGGGAGCCAGUAUGGAGGGUGUUGUUUGGGCAUUGAUCUAACAAAGCUCACCUGCAGAAGGAAUGCUGACAAUCCAAUAGGAAUGUCCACAACUAAUCAUCCAGUUCCCUCCUGUGUAACACAGUUGGUGUCAGGCCCAAGUUGUAGUACUCCUCCAGCCUUAGCUGCCAGGUUUCUCCCAAGGGAGCCCUGACAUUCCUGUUGCAGGGGAACUCCUGGCACAAAUUGCUCAGCUGAAAGCAUUAUGUUUUGCAUUUAUUCUAGGAAAAAUGCUAACUGCAUUUUGAGCAGGCUUUGCUAAUCAGGUCAGCCAGACUGACCUAAAUGAACAUUUUUCCUAAUCAAGACAAAGUCACAGUGUAAAGAAGCCAAAAGCAACUUUGCUGAGGUAGUCAGGGGUGAGUUUCCUCUGGAACAGCCUGGACAGUGAUUGUAAUAAAUGACCUCACACAAGGCAUCACCUUUGAGCUCUAAAGAUGGUACUAAUUACUCCAGCACUGGUUUAGAUUAUGUAGUAGUUUCAGGGAGAAACUACUUGCACAGUGCUGUAUGGGGAAUUUCUUCAGUCUUAGAAAGUGAGAAGAUAAAAUGGGACAAGAAAGAAAGGAGUGAGAGUAUGUGGAUAAGUGCACUUCUAACCUUCAUGAGACCUUGUUCUGGCUGAUCAAUGUGUCAAGGUAAAUGUAAAGCAUCUAUCACUUGGAUACAGACCAACGCCACAUGAUUUCAAAGGCAGAUAGCCCUGGACAGGUUUAAGAAAAUAAGAGUGAAAGAAGAGAUAUAAAGAAAGAGAAAAGAAGGUGGAUAAAGAAGUCAGAAAGAGGUGGUUGAAAGCAUAAGGCUGGAGUUUUUUGGGUCAGUUCAGGAAACUACAGGAAAGGAAAACUUUGAAUGAUGUAACCGUACAGGAAAGCAGAAGUAAAAUUUGUUUUCUUGAGCAGCUGGAAAUAAGUUAGAUAGAUGUAAACAUUGCAUGGCAGACAUGCGGAGCAACUGGGUUGAAAGACACAGCCUGCCUUUCAGCAUGCUACUUGCAGUCCCUUGCCACUCUGGCCAUGCCCUUGGCUCUUCACAACCUUUCUGCUCUGAGGAACGCUGCAAAACAUGCAGACACCAACCCAAGGAAACACCUAACAACUUACAACACAAACUGAACACCAGAUACAGGAAAAAGUAAGAGACGAGCUCCAUGUAAGCACUCACUCUGUCCUACUGCCAGGCUGAAAUCUGGAUUGAUGAUUUCAGUCAGGGGAUACCAAACUACACUGAAGUUGCUUGCACAGAAGUCACCUGCUGCAGCAGGAAAAAGAUGGUGCCAGCUUGGGGAGUCAGCCAAGAAAGAUGGCUUUGGUUCCACCUUUGUUCUUACUUCUCAUCUCCCAUGUGGAGACAUGAAGUCCCAGCAGUUCAGAUGUGAAAAUACAGUCCCUGGCAGAAAGCUGGGAUUGGUAGGAUGUGGUAAUCCCAAGACUAAGAUUGGCUUGGAUUGAAGACCUAACACACUUGGCUCCUCCAGCAGACAUGUCUCCUGAAGAAUGCUUGCCACAAGAUUGCCUGUGAAGCAUAGGUGACUGCAUAGUAUCUUGCUGCACAGACCUGGAAUUUCCCUGGGAAAUCUCUCAGCCAAAUUAGGCCAAGAGACAGGUUUUGUGCAUUUCUUAGUAGAGCUGUAAUGGUUUGCUUCAUUGCUGGUGCCCCACCUGUUUUCCUGUAACUCUGCAGCAAGGAGAGUCACCAUCUGGCUUUGUGAGCCAUCUGGUUUCUUACAGUGGACUUCCACAGCAGGACAAGGAUGCACAAGCUUUAGUGGGUUGACUAAUCCCUUCCUUGAAAUGCACUGGAACAAGUGAGUCUUGAGAAUCAAAUUGCUGUAUCAAGAACAAUCCUGCCUGUGGUUAUGUGCAGAGGAUCUGCCAUGUGGCCAUCCCAAAGACAACUCAAGAGAGUUAAGCAUUUUCAUUUGCUUCCCUUAACACUGAGAAUUCUUUAAAUAGUAAAUAAGUAAUUAUUAAAUGCUAAUUAAAUACUACCUUAAAACCUAUGGAGAAAUGCUGAGGAAAAAGGGAGCAAGCAGAGGAAUAACUUUUCUCUGAGGAAACACACAGCAGUAAAUCACAGAGGUGUCAGCCUGGCUGUAUUUUAAAUAGUGCAGCUACUGCUGUGGCUAUGAAAUCCCUAGUUCUAAAUUCCCCUUCAAGGAGUUGCUUCAGAAAAUGCUCUUCUUUCCUAAUCCCUCCUCUACCAGAGACAGCUCCACUCCAGGCUUCAGCAAGAACAGUGCAGCACCAAUGGGACCAGCACAGCACCAGUCAUGGAUGAGACCAGAGCAGCACAGGAUAGGACCAGUGCAGUGCCAGAUGAGCUCCUGAGCAGCAGAAGACAUUUUGCAUCAAUGAACACAACACAUUUCAUUAAAUUCAGAAGCUCCCCCACACUAUGGUGGCUUCUGAAGCUACCAUACACUACAAGGUUGCCCACUUGUACAGUGGGCCAGUCUUAGAGGUUUUGUACACAAAUGAGACCUCAGGUUUGUCCCUCUCUGAAAGUGGUGGUGGUGGCAUUGAACGGCUGCCUUAUGCACAAGGAGGAGGAUCACCUGGCAGACAUGGACUGAGCAGUACACAACUCCAGCAUCUCCCAGCUGGUGCUGAUCCCUUGGUGGGAGUGGACUGUGUGCACAGAUGUACUUCCACCUCCUGCCAAACCCUCCCUUUGUUUACUCUGCAAGCACUUCAACAAAGAUCUUCCUGCUUCUCCCCACCAAGAUGAUGGCUCUGUCUCCACUGUUUAACCCUGUUUUGGACAUAUGCCUUCCUGCACUCCUGCUCUAAGUUGCAGCCUCUCUCCUAGUUCUGGCCCAAGAGCACAGUUAAUGGGUUCUCCCACUUUGGCAGAGAUGAUAAUUUAGGACAAUGGGUUCCCAGCACAUGCAGGCAGUUGUCCAACAAAUGAAUGUGUUUAUUUAGGAAGAGUAUCCCAAAUGUUUAUCAAUUUCCUGGCAGAUAGGACACACAAAUGAUCCACAGUCUCUGGAAUAAGUAUUUACCUAGAGUCUUCCAAAUGAAGUUCAAGUUUCUUCCCCUCUUCUUUAUCAAAAGGGAAACAUUUUUCCUGGUGGUGACUCUACAGUGAUGAUGCUCAGAGACCCAGACUCACAGAUCCAUGGACACAUAUUCAGCUCUGGUUUCAUCCUGCUGCUAGCGCUUCUGCAAGUGCUCCAGAAAACGCCAUUUGUCACAUUGCCUGGGCAUACGGGACCACACAGUGAAAGAGUGCAUUAGUGUGCAUUCCCAGAGGAGCGGGGUUAGCACUCCUGAGACAGCCUGAACAGCCAUUCUGCAGCUUCUAACUGUGGAGACCCGAGUGAGCAGGCCGGCUAUUUUCUUGCCUUGAUGUCUCUUGAAGGAGGUAAAGUAUAUGCUUUGAAAAGCAUGGAGUCAAAAUAAAGCUGUGUUUACAUAAAUAUCCAAA